rnacentral:rRNA from 1 species
AUUGAACGCUGGCGGAAUGCUUUACACAUGCAAGUCGAGCGGCAGCGCGGGGCAACCUGGCGGCGAGCGGCGAACGGGUGAGUAAUACAUCGGAACGUACCCAGACGUGGGGGAUAACACAUCGAAAGAUGUGCUAAUACCGCAUACGACCUGAGGGUGAAAGGGGGGGAUCGCAAGACCUCUCGCGAUUGGAGCGGCCGAUGUCGGAUUAGCUAGUUGGUGGGGUAAAGGCUCACCAAGGCGACGAUCCGUAGCUGGUCUGAGAGGACGACCAGCCACACUGGGACUGAGACACGGCCCAGACUCCUACGGGAGGCAGCAGUGGGGAAUUUUGGACAAUGGGGGCAACCCUGAUCCAGCCAUUCCGCGUGAGUGAAGAAGGCCUUCGGGUUGUAAAGCUCUUUCGGCAGGAACGAAACGGUGAAGGCUAAUACCUUUCAUCAAUGACGGUACCUGAAGAAGAAGCACCGGCUAACUAUGUGCCAGCCGCCGCCGUAA